AGCGAACGCUGGCGGCAAUGCUUAACACAUGCAAGUCGCACGGUCGGGGUAACUCGGCAGUGGCGGACGGGUGAGUAACGCGUAGGUAUCUAUCCUUGGGUGGGGGACAACUGCGGGAAACUGCAGCUAAUACCGCAUGAUGCUUGAGGGCCAAAGGCGCGAGUCGCCUGGGGAGAGCCUGCGUACGAUUAGCUUGUUGGUGGGGUAAAGGCCUACCAAGGCGACGACGUUAGCUGGUCUGAGAGGAUGAUCAGCCACACUGGGACUGAGACACGGCCCAGACUCCUACGGGAGCAGCAGUGGGGAAUAUUGGACAAUGGCGAAAGCCUGAUCCAGCCAUGCCGCGU
rnacentral:rRNA from 1 species